GACGAACGCUGGCGGCGUGCUUAACACAUGCAAGUCGAACGGAAAGGCCCUGCUUUUGUGUGGUGCUCGAGUGGCGAACGGGUGAGUAACACGUGAGUAACCUGCCCUUGACUUUGGGAUAACUUCAGGAAACUGGGGCUAAUACCGGAUAGGAGCUCCUGCUGCAUGGUGGGGGUUGGAAAGUUUCGGCUGUUGGGGAUGGACUCGCGGCUUAUCAGCUUGUUGGUGGGGUAGUGGCUGACCAAGGCUGUGACGGGUAGCCGGCCUGAGAGGGUGACCGGACACAUUGGGACUGAGAUACGGCACAGCCUCCUCCGGGAGGCAGCAGUGGGGAAUAUUGCACAAUGGGCGGAAGCAUGAUGCGGUAACGCCGCGUGCGGGAUGACGGCCUUCGGGUUGUAAACCGCUUUCGCCUGUGACGAAGCGUGAGUGACGGUAAUGGGUAAAGAAGCACCGGCUAACUACGUG
rnacentral:rRNA from 1 species